UACGGAGGGGGCGAGCGUUGUCCGGAUUUACUGGGCGUAAAGCGCGUGUAGGUGGCCGUGUCAGUCGGGUGUGAAAGCCCGGGGCUCAACCCCGGGAUGCCGCCCGAUACUGCCCGGCUUGAGGACGGCAGAGGGGCGUGGAAUUCCUGGUGUAGCGGUGAAAUGCGUAGAGAUCAGGAGGAACACCCGUGGCGAAGGCGGCGCCCUGGUCCGUUACUGACGCUGAGACGCGAAAGCGCGGGGAGCGAACGGGAUUAGAUACCCGAGUAGU
rnacentral:rRNA from 1 species